AGUGAACGCUGGCGGUAGGCCUAACACAUGCCAGUCGAACGGCAGCACAGUAAGAGCUUGCUCUUACGGGUGGCGAGUGGCGGACGGGUGAGGAAUACAUCGGAAUCUACUUUUUCGUGGGGGAUAACGUAGGGAAACUUACGCUAAUACCGCAUACGACCUACGGGUGAAAGCAGGGGAUCUUCGGACCUUGCGCGAUUGAAUGAGCCGAUGUCGGAUUAGCUAGUUGGCGGGGUAAAGGCCCACCAAGGCGACGAUCCGUAGCUGGUCUGAGAGGAUGAUAGGCCACACUGGAACUGAGACACGGUCCAGACUCCUACGGGAGGCAGCAGUGGGGAAUAUUGGACAAUGGGCGCAAGCCUGAUCCAGCCAUACCGCGUGGGUGAAGAAGGCCUUCGGGUUGUAAAGCCCUUUUGUUGGGAAAGAAAAGCAGCAGGUUAAUACCCCGCUGUUCUGACGGUACCCAAAGAAUAAGCACCGGCUAACUUCGUG
rnacentral:rRNA from 1 species